rnacentral:ncRNA from 2 species
AUUGAUUUGCGGGGGGACUUAUUAGUUGAGAAGGUUAAAACCUGACCCUUUGAACCUGUUAGUUAAUACUAACGUAGGGAAGCUAGGCGUUUCGGCUA